AGUGAACGCUGGCGGUAGGCCUAACACAUGCAAGUCGAACGGCAGCACAGUAAGAGCUUGCUCUUACGGGUGGCGAGUGGCGGACGGGUGAGGAAUACAUCGGAAUCUACUUUUUCGUGGGGGAUAACGUAGGGAAACUUACGCUAAUACCGCAUACGACCUACGGGUGAAAGCAGGGGAUCUUCGGACCUUGCGCGAUUGAAUGAGCCGAUGUCGGAUUAGCUAGUUGGCGGGGUAAAGGCCCACCAAGGCGACGAUCCGUAGCUGGUCUGAGAGGAUGAUCAGCCACACUGUAACUGAGACACGGUCCAGACUCCUACGGGAGGCAGCAGUGGGGAAUAUUGGGCGAUGGGCGCAAGCCUGAUCCAGCCAUACCGCGUGGGUGAAGAAGGCCUUCGGGUUGCAAAGCCCUUUUGUUGGGAAAGAAAAGCAGCAGGUUAAUACCCCGCUGUUCUGACGGUACCCAAAGAAUAAGCACCGGCUAACUUCGUG
rnacentral:rRNA from 1 species